rnacentral:rRNA from 1 species
AUCAACGCUGGCGGCGCGCCUAACACAUGCAAGUCGAACGAGAAAGGGGAGCAAUCCCUGAGUAAAGUGGCGUACGGGUGAGUAACACGUGGAUUAUCUGCCCCUUAGUGGGGAAUAACCCUGGGAAACCGGGGCUAAUACCGCAUAAGCUCGCGAGAGGAAAGCAGCAAUGCGCUGAGGGAGGAGUCCGCGGGCCGAUUAGCUAGUUGGUAGGGUAAAAGCCUACCAAGGCAAAGAUCGGUAGCCGGCCUGAGAGGGCACACGGCCACACUGGCACUGAAACACGGUCCAGUACUCCUACGGGAGGCAGCAGCGGGGAAUUUUGCGCAAUGGGGGAAACCCUGACGCAGCGACGCCGCGUGGAGGAUGAAGUCCCUUGGGACGUAAAGCUCUUUCGGACCGGGACGAUUAUGACGGUACCGUGGAAGAAGCCCGCGGCUAACUUACGUGCCAGCAGCCGCGGUAAUACGUAGGGGGGCAAGCGUUGUUCGGAUUAUUGGGCGUAAAAGGGCGCGUAGGCGGUGCGGUAAGUUCCCUGGUGAAAACUCUCGGGCUCAACUCAGGAGGCUGCCAGGCGAAACUGCCGUGCUUGAGUGUGGGAGAGGUGCAGUGGAAUUCCCUGGUGUAGCGGUGAAAUGCGUAGAUAUCAGGGAGGAACACCUGUGGGCGAAGCGGCUCACUGGACCGACAACUGACGCUGAUACGCGAAAGCUAGGGUAGCAAACAGGAUUAGAUACCCUGGUAGUCCUACGCCCCUAAACUAUGGAUACUUGGUGUGGGCAGGGUACCCAUCCCGACCGUGCCGGCAGCUAACGCGUUAAGCUAUGCCGCCUGGGAGUACAGGUCGCAAGGCUGAAACUCAAAGGAAUUGACGGGGGCCCGCACAAGCGGUGGAGCAUGUGGUUCAAUUCGACGCAACGCGAAGAACCUUACCUGGGCUCGAAGCGCAGUGGUCAACCGGGGUGGAAACAUCGCUUUACCCGCAAGGGACUGCAGUCGAGGUGCCUGCAUGGCUGUCGUCAGCUCGUGUCGUGAGAUGUUGGGUUAAGUCCCGCAACGAGCGCAACCCUUGUCCUGUUAGUAGCCAUCAUGUAGCUGGGCACUCUAGCAGAAGACCGCCAGCGGAUAAGCUGGAGGAAGGUGGGGAUGACGUCAAGUCCUCAUGGCCUUUAUGUCCCAGGGCUACACACGUGCUACAAUGGUACGGUACAAUGCCGUCGCUAGCUCGCGAGGGGGAGCUAAUCGCAAAAAACCGUCUCAGUUCGGAUUGCAGGCUGCAACUCGACUGCCAUGAAGCUGGAAUCGCUAGUAAUCGGCAGAUCAGAACGCUGCGGUGAAUACGUUCCCGGGCCUUGUACACACCGCCCGUCACAUCACGAAAGUGGAUGAUACUAGAAGUCCUGCCCGGCCUGACCCGCAAGGGGGGCAGACGGCCCAAGGUAUGACUCCAUGAUUGGGGUG